UCCUGUGGAAGUCAAGCUAUGAAGCACUUUGUAGUCCUCAAACUAAGCAGGCGGAGGAGAGACUUCUGGUGUUUGUCUGGAGGGCUGUUGGCCCAGUUGGGCGGGGUUUAGUGUAAUGGCUCUGUUCUCCACUAGAUGGCGCCGCUUAGCGUACUGGGGUAGAUUGUUGCAGCGCGUGUAGGCGUGUCUGCGCAUGCGCGGGAGGGGUGAAAAUGGCGUCUCCCAGAUACCCGAUCUCCAGUAUUGGAACUCUGUGCUCUCCCUGACCGGCAAUCAAAUACCCCUCCUUUUUUGCUGGUUUCCAUCUACUCCCCGCUUUGACACUGUCCGUGACCAGGCCGUCAGGCUGCUAGGCAGCGCCUGUCUCCUGAGUUUCAUCUCAGAUGCGGCUGUGUUUCCCGACCCCUCACUUCUGAGGGACUGUGGCUUUGACCCGCUCAGAUCCUCUGGGAAAGGGUCUCACUGAGCAAUGGCCGGUGCUGGCGGCACCCAGGAACGUUCGCUGGACUGUGCUGCUGCCGGUGCUCUGAGACUGCGGCCGGGUGCCAGCCGGCCCCAGAAAAAGUUUGCGAGAUAGUGUAGCAGCAGCGUUUCAGGGAUUAUGGAAAAUCACAGCACACAUCUGGCGCCAGGCUUCACCCUUAACGUCCUUGUUCCAGCACCAGUGAAUGUCCUCGUUCUCCGCGGUCCACUGGGAGACGUCGUCCAGCAGGGGAACCACCACAUCCUGUGUGGCCUGCGGACCCCUUGGACCAUGCUCUCUGCUCCUGGAGAUUCACCCUUCUCACCAGAGCAAUGCCAGAUGGCAGUUCCAGUUGCUUACAUUGCAGCACUCUGUUUAAGAGUCUAGACUUCUAAAGUUUAUACAACCAAUUAAGAGAGAGACACAGCAUGAGUGGGGAAGGGGCAGAGAGAGAGGGAGACAUAGAAUCUGAAACAGGCUCCAAGCUGUCAGCACAGAGCCCGACGCAGGGCUUGAACUCACCGACAGUGAGAUCAUGAUGUGAGCAGAAGUCAGACGCUCAACUGACUAAGCCACCCAGGCACCCCUAUGUAAAGAAAUUUUUAAAAAUUAAGCCAUUUGCCACAUAUUUUUUUACAAGUAAUUUUGCAAAUUUUACUCAUGGUGUUGGCAACAGGACAGUUGCAUGGUGUUCCUAACUUUGAAAAUCUGUAUGUAGCUCCCAGUACCUUGUGUACUCCUCUCCUCACAGAUAGUAAUACUGAAAAAUGUUAUAUAUUUAGAUGUUUAGUUAUGUAUUCACUUGUUAAUUUUCCUGUAAAACACCUUUUAAUCUGUUACUGUUUCACAACCUUCUGAGCUAAAGUUCUUUUCAUAUAUACCUAAUGAUUCUUUUUUGUAACAUGCCUCAAAAAUUCCCUGCCCUAACUUUGAGGUGAAAUUUUGCCUAAAAAGUCCAAUUAGCAUUUGCUGAACUUUGUGCCAGAUCUUAGGAUAAGUAUAUUCAUAUCAAAAAUACUCUUAUUCACUUCUAUAAUAGCCUAGUUCAAAUUAUGCACCGUGUGAAAUGAGGAAGUACAUGCUCAAAUAAUUUGCCAGAAAAGCAUAGCUAAUAACUGGUAGAAAUAAAAUGUGGUGUUAUGAUUUCAUCAUUGUUUUCUAUGACAAUGCCAUGAUCCUUCUAAUUCAAUGCAGGAAUAGGAAGAAAUGUUUUUCUUUACUCCCUCAUGCCCAGGAGAGUACCAGCUCCUUAAUAAGAAAGUCAAACUAUUAUCUGCACAAAAGGAAAUUGUGCAUUAUUUUACUAGUAGAAUUGUAGGAAUUACCACACUGGUUCACACUUGUGGUCAGUAAUGUUUAACAUUCUGUCUCUAGCAGUGACAAUGAGGCACAUGUUAUUAAAGAGUAUUUAUAUCUUUCUUGAUAUCAACUUCACAAUUUUAUGUUAGCUCCAAAAUAUUGUAGAUGUGCCGAAUAUAUCUUUAAAUAUCCAUAAUUUAUAAAUUCAUCUAUAUUAAUACUGAAUACAAUUUUAACUUCCUAAGCUAUUCACUAUAUUUCACUUAUGUGGUAUUUUUUACAUACAGCUUUGUACUACAAUUUCCAUUUAUGUAGUCCUAUUAAUUUAACUGUUACUUCCUACAUGGCAACAUCUAGGUCUUACCCUGUUUUGUUUUCUUCAGAAGGCUUAAGAAACAUAGCUUAAAUUUAUGUUAUUUUAUAAAUAUACUUGAUUCAACUCUAGAAUAAUGUAUAGUUUUAAAAUAUUCCAUUAAAUCAUUGUGUUACCUAGUACUGAUAAAAUUAGUAAGACAAAACUAAUUUUAUUUUAAUACUAAGAGAAUUUGGUCAGAAAGAGUUUUUUUUUUUUUAAGUUAAUUUUAUUUGUUUUGAGAAAGAUAGAGAAAGAGCAUAAGAGGGGUAAGGGCAGAGAAAGAAGGAGAGAAAGAAUCCCUACCAGGCUCUGCCCUGUCAGCACAGAGCCCAUUGCGGGGCUCUAUCUCAAGAAAUGUGAGAUCAAGAAAUGACCUAAGAGGAAAUCAAGAGUUGGACACUUAAGUGAGCCACUCAGGUGCACCAGGAAGGAGUUCUUGAUUUCUGAGAAGUAUUACUAUAAAAAAAUAAAUAAAUAGAAAAUGAGAUAUUCAACAUACUCUGACCAACAAUUAUUUUAGGAAAAGUUUUAAAAAUGAAAAAGAAAUUGAAGAAAUGGGCAUGAAAAAAACCAGAAUGGAUUAAAGUGAUUUAUUUUAAGAAGUAAGGAGGGUUAUAAAAGAAAAGAUCAAAUCUAGUUUGCCAAGAAAUUAUCCAGAAAGGGAAGUCGUUUAAGAUUGGGUGGUUUAAGUUAGAAAUGUUUAAACAUAAAAUUAUGUGCAGGCCACCUGAGCAGAAAUGGCCACCAAAGUGUGAAAUGAUGACAGAAUAAACAUUAAAAAAAAAAUCUUUGGUAAUGGAAAUUUUUUUAUCAUCUAGAUAGUUUCCAGAAAAUUUUAUAUAAAGCAAAUCUAAAAAGUAUGAGGUGUUUUUAAGAGUGUGUGGACAAUUUCCACUUCACUGAAUACACUGAAUACACCAAAUGAAAGGGAAAAAGAAUAAUCAUAAAAUUAGUACUAAGUAAUAUGGUGGAUGUAACUGAAGUCAUAAAAACAUUAGAAACAGUGGUCAUAAUGCUACAGCCAAAGGUGGGAGACAAAACAGGAUACACGCUGUAAUGUAGAAAGCUCUCUCUAUACAUUGCCAAGACAAAAGUCUAGUCCCACAACCAUCUUAAAAACAUACUAAACUGUGUGUAUGUAGGGGGGUGGAAUUCUCUAUGCUUACUGCCAUGUGCACAAAGUAACUAGUUUGCCACCUGAAUAUUUUAUGAUCUACCGCAAAUUAAGGGUAAACAAUAAAGAAUUUUUCUAUUAAAAAAAAAAACUCAUGAAGGCCCUUCCUAAUUCUUAGAGAUUCUGUGGUACGGGGUGGUGAAAUCUGAAACAAAUUAUUAUGAGGAUCUCUGAUAUAUCCAAAUGCACUUAUUAAGUAUUGUUAAAGGUACGUUAAUCCCAUGCAAAUUUGGGGUAAUGGUAGGGAGAUCAGCAAGUGUUAUCACAAGGUUUUGAGUGUGUGAAUGUCUGUAAGACCAACAUAACUUUAAUUCUCUAAAAAAUAUAUUUAAUUUCUCUUGUGGUGCUCAUGUGCUGGAAUAUUGAUGCUAACCAUAGUAAUUUAUAGCCUAAAUCAUUGAAAAGUGGUUCUGAUAUAAAAAUUGCCUUCUCCUUUUUGGUACUUCAGCAUUCCCUUUGUUCUACUUACAAGAUUACUACCUAUCCACCAAAAGGUAACACCAAAGCUUUCUAUCAAACACUUCUACUUGAUUAAGGAAACUUUUAUUAGUAUUGAUGUCAACUUCCCAAUUACCACAUUUCAGCCUUCCUCAAAAUCUAGGACCUGAACUUUCAAAAGAUAUUUUUACAUUUAAUUGUUUU